rnacentral:rRNA from 1 species
AUUGAACGCUGGCGGCAUGCUUUACACAUGCAAGUCGAACGGAUUAGAGGGGCUUGCUCCUCUAGUUAGUGGCGAACGGGUGAGUAAUGCAUCGGAACGUACCGUGUAGUGGGGGAUAACCCGGCGAAAGUCGGAUUAAUACCGCAUACGAUCUAAGGAUGAAAGCGGGGGAUCGCAAGACCUCGCGCUAUACGAGCGGCCGAUGUCGGAUUAGCUAGUUGGUAGGGUAAAGGCCUACCAAGGCAACGAUCCGUAGCGGGUCUGAGAGGAUGAUCCGCCACACUGGGACUGAGACACGGCCCAGACUCCUACGGGAGGCAGCAGUGGGGAAUUUUGGACAAUGGACGCAAGUCUGAUCCAGCCAUGCCGCGUGAGUGAAGAAGGCCUCGGUUGGUAA